UACGUAGGUGGCGAGCGUUGUCCGGAUUUACUGGGCGUAAAGAGCGCGCAGGCGGUCGUGCAAGUCGCGUGUGAAAGCCCCCGGCUCAACUGGGGAGGGUCACGCGAUACUGCUGUGACUCGAGUCCGGUAGGGGAGUGGGGAAUUCCUGGUGUAGCGGUGAAAUGCGCAGAUAUCAGGAGGAACACCGGUGGCGAAGGCGCCACUCUGGGCCGGUACUGACGCUGAGGAGCGAAAGCGUGGGGAGCAAACAGG
rnacentral:rRNA from 1 species